ACAGCAGCAGCCGCGGUAAUACGUAGGGUGCAAGCGUUAAUCGGAAUUACUGGGCGUAAAGCGUGCGCAGGCGGUUAUAUAAGACAGAUGUGAAAUCCCCGGGCUCAACCUGGGAACUGCAUUUGUGACUGUAUAGCUAGAGUACGGCAGAGGGGGAUGGAAUUCCGCGUGUAGCAGUGAAAUGCGUAGAUAUGCGGAGGAACACCGAUGGCGAAGGCAAUCCCCUGGGCCUGUACUGACGCUCAUGCACGAAAGCGUGGGGAGCAAACAGGAUUAGAUACCCCUGUAGUCCCUGUCUCUUAUAA
rnacentral:rRNA from 1 species